CCUACAAUGUAAAACAAAGCCGGACACUAAAAACCCUGUUUAAAAUUCAAAGAACUUGGCGGUGUCUUAUACAAUCAGGGGAACCUGUUCCUUAAUUCGAUAAUCCACGAAUGCUUAACCAUUUCUAGUAAACCAGCUUGUGUACUGCCGUCGCAUGUAUGCCUCUAAAAGCUAGCAUACAGAAAUAACUCCUAUUGACGUCAGGUCAAAGUGCAGCCAAUGAAAUGGUGGAAAUGGGUUACACCUCAAAAAAGAGCCAACGUCUUAUGAAAAUAAGAACUAAAGAUGGACUUGAGAGUAAUGAUUAAAACUUAGAUAUCAUGAACUGGAAUCUAAGACAUGCACACAUCGCCCGUCGCUCUCGUCGAAAGAUG
rnacentral:rRNA from 1 species